rnacentral:rRNA from 1 species
GUGGAUUAGAUACCCGGGUAGUCCACGCAGUAAACGAUGAAUACUAACUGUAUGCGAUAUACUGUAUGCGGUACAGCGAAAGCGUUAAGUAUUCCACCUGGGGAGUACGUUCGCAAGAAUGAAACUCAAAGGAAUUGACGGGGGCCCGCACAAGCGGAGGAACAUGUGGUUUAAUUCGAUGAUACGCGAGGAACCUUACCCGGGCUUGAAAUGCAGAAGACCGACGAAGAAAUUCGUUUUCCAGCAAUGGCUUCUGUGUAGGUGCUGCAUGGUCGUCGACAACU